rnacentral:lncRNA from 1 species
CACCCGCAUGCCAGAAAGGAAGUAAGGUUGAGAGACUAGAAUUUAAGUCAGGUCCAACAGCCGUCCACAAGCAUCUUGCCCUGAGCUACUCCGCUAGUCUUUCAGAGAGAGAUGAGGACAGUGAGGAGGACAAAGAGAAUAAGGCUCCUUCUCCCUCACAGCUAGCUCUGAAAAUGAAGCCCAGGAAGCUGUUUGGGCCUACUAAUAAAUCCUUCACUCCUAGUAAGGCCGAGGAAGUGGAGACACUGUCAUCUUGUACGAAGUCCAGUUGCAGGCAUGCCAGUGUGGAGGCAGACAUCGAUGUGACCCAGCCUGCUCAGCAGGUGGGCUUUAUCUGCCAUCAGUUCAGCUCAGAGUUUAAGAGGAAGAUCAAGAAUCUCUGCAGGACAAUGGAUCUUUACACCAGGCAGACUUUGAAGACCUUACAGCAGCACAUGUCCUCCGUCAGUGUCCAAGUACACCAGUACAGUAGUAGUCAGAGGCUAGAGAAAGUUAAACAAGUCCUGGUGCGUGAAAUAGCAAACCUGGAGCAAGAUGACAUUGUUUUGAGAAGCAUGGAGGAGGAAUUGAUGACUUACUGGGAAAAGCAGACCUUGGCCUUUCACG